rnacentral:tRNA from 1 species
AAAGGUGUAGCUCAGAGGGUAGAGCAACGGUCUCCAAAAUCGUAUGUCGUGAGUUCGAUUCUCACCACCUUUG